rnacentral:rRNA from 1 species
CUUAAAUUGAAGAGUUUGAUCAUGGCUCAGAUUGAACGCUGGCGGCAGGCCUAACACAUGCAAGUCGAGCGGAAACGAGUUAUCUGAACCUUCGGGGGACGAUAACGGCGUCGAGCGGCGGACGGGUGAGUAAUGCCUAGGAAAU